AAGGUUUUAUUUUACUUAUUUUAUUUUUUAGAUUUAUUUAUUUGUUUUAGGGAGAGACAGCACAAGUGGGAGGGGCAGAGGGAGAGAGACUCUCAAGCAGACUCCUCGCUGAGUGGAGUCCAACUUGGGGCUCGAUCUCACGACCCUGAGAUCACAACCUGAGCCGAAACCAAGAGUUGGACACUCCACCGACUGAGCCCCCCGGGCGCCCUUGAAACUAGGAAAUUUUAAAAAGAGGAAAAGUGAGUUAGGAAAGUCAGCCGCCUUGUCACUGUCUGGGGGCUGGACUCGUGGCGGUGUGUGCCAGAGACACGGGCGGACAGGGUGAGCCACGUGUGUGCGUGGAGACAUCGCAUCAGGUGAUGCUGGUGAGCAGAACCCGUGGAAGGACACAGCGUGCCCGUGGACGUGCUCUGAGUGACAGGUGACUUGUGCGCUGUCUGGACGCAGUAUGACAGCGUGUGAGUCCUGAGUGACAGGUCCCAUGUUGGCGGGCUUGCUCACGCGGGCAGGGAGGCGGCAUCUGGGCAGGAGGUGACUAGGGGUGAUGGCCACAGUGAUAUUUGGGGGGCAGUGUCUGGGGUGAUGCCAAGGGCAAAGAGUUAGGGUGAUGCUUGGCAGUGAUGUCCAGUGGGCUGGGGGGCAGUGUUGGGGCUUGAUGUCAGGGGCUGAUGUCUGGGGGGUGAUGCUGGGGGGCGAUGUUGGGGUGAUCGGGGGUGAUGUCCGGGGCACAGGGCAUCCGUGUGGCCAUGCUAACUGCCCUGUCCCCCCCUGCAGCCUGCCUGUCCCGCUUCAACGCCCUGUCUCUGGUCUACCUGCUGUUCCUGCUGCUGCUGCCGUGGUUCCCGGGCCCCUGUCGGCACGGCAUCCCAGGCCACACUGGUCGCCUCCUCCGGGCCCUGCUGGUUUUCACCCUCCUCUUCCUGGCAGCCCACCUGGCCUUCCAGAUAUGCCUGCACACCGUGCCCCGCCUGGACCAGCUUCUGGGGCCCAGCUGUGAGU
rnacentral:lncRNA from 1 species